rnacentral:rRNA from 1 species
UAGGGAAUCUUCCGCAAUGGACGCAAGUCUGACGGAGCAACGCCGCGUGAGUGAAGAAGGAUUUCGGUUCGUAAAACUCUGUUGUUAGAGAAGAACAGCGCAUAGAGUAACUGUUAUGCGUGUGACGGUAUCUAACCAGAAAGCCACGGCUAACUACGUGCCAGCAGCCGCGGUAAUACGUAGGUGGCAAGCGUUGUCCGGAUUUAUUGGGCGUAAAGCGAGCGCAGGCGGUCAAUUAAGUCUGAUGUGAAAGCCCCCGGCUCAACCGGGGAGGGUCAUUGGAAACUGGUUUACUUGAGUGCAGAAGAUGAGAGUGGAAUUCCAUGUGUAGCGGUGAAAUGCGUAGAUAUAUGGAGGAACACCAGUGGCGAAGGCGACUCUCUGGUCUGUAACUGACGCUGAGGUUCGAAAGCGUGGGUAGCAAACAGG